rnacentral:rRNA from 1 species
AUUGAACGCUGGCGGCAGGCCUAACACAUGCAAGUCGAACGGUAACAGGAAGCAGCUUGCUGCUUUGCUGACGAGUGGCGGACGGGUGAGUAAUGUCUGGGAAACUGCCUGAUGGAGGGGGAUAACUACUGGAAACGGUAGCUAAUACCGCAUAACGUCGCAAGACCAAAGAGGGGGACCUUCGGGCCUCUUGCCAUCGGAUGUGCCCAGAUGGGAUUAGCUAGUAGGUGGGGUAACGGCUCACCUAGGCGACGAUCCCUAGCUGGUCUGAGAGGAUGACCAGCCACACUGGAACUGAGACACGGUCCAGACUCCUACGGGAGGCAGCAGUGGGGAAUAUUGCACGAUGGGCGCAAGCCUGAUGCAGCCAUGCCGCGUGUAUGAAGAAGGCCUUCGGGUUGUAAAGUACUUUCAGCGGGGAGGAAGGGAGUAAAGUUAAUACCUUUGCUUAUUGACGUUACCCGCAGAAGAAGCACCGGCUAACUCCGUG